rnacentral:rRNA from 1 species
AGAACUUGAAACCGUGUGCUUACAAGUAGUCAGAGCCCGUUAAUGGGUGAUGGCGUGCCUUUUGUAGAAUGAACCGGCGAGUUACGAUCUGAUGCAAGGUUAAGCAGAAAAUGUGGAGCCGUAGCGAAAGCGAGUCUGAAUAGGGCGAAUGAGUAUUUGGUCGUAGACCCGAAACCAGGUGAUCUACCCUUGGUCAGGUUGAAGUUCAGGUAACACUGAAUGGAGGACCGAACCGACUUACGUUGAAAAGUGAGCGGAUGAACUGAGGGUAGCGGAGAAAUUCCAAUCGAACUUGGAGAUAGCUGGUUCUCUCCGAAAUAGCUUUAGGGCUAGCCUCAAGUGAUGAUUAUUGGAGGUAGAGCACUGUUUGGACGAGGGGCCCCUCUCGGGUUACCGAAUUCAGACAAACUCCGAAUGCCAAAUAAUUUAACUUGGGAGUCAGAAUGUGGGUGAUAAGGUCCAUAUUCGAAAGGGAAACAGCCCAGACCACCAGCUAAGGUCCCAAAAUAUAUGUUAAGUGGAAAAGGAUGUGGCGUUGCCCAGACAACUAGGAUGUUGGCUUAGAAGCAGCCAUCAUUUAAAGAGUGCGUAAUAGCUCACUAGUCGAGUGACACUGCGCCGAAAAUGUACCGGGGCUAAACAUAUUACCGAAGCUGUGGAUUGUCCUUUGGACAAUGGUAGGAGAGCGUUCUAAGGGCGUUGAAGCAUGAUCGCAAGGACAUGUGGAGCGCUUAGAAGUGAGAAUGCCGGUGUGAGUAGCGAAAGACGGGUGAGAAUCCCGUCCACCGAUUGACUAAGGUUUCCAGAGGAAGGCUCGUCCGCUCUGGGUUAGUCGGGUCCUAAGCUGAGGCCGACAGGCGUAGGCGAUGGAUAACAGGUUGAUAUUCCUGUACCACCAUUAUUCGUUUUAAGCGA